UACGAAGGGGGCUAGCGUUGCUCGGAAUUAUUGGGCGUAAAGAGCUCGUAGGCGGCUUGUCACGUCGGGUGUGAAAGCCCGGGGCUUAACCCCGGGUCUGCAUUCGAUACGGGCUGGCUGGAGUGUGGUAGGGGAGAUCGGAAUUCCUGGUGUAGCGGUGAAAUGCGCAGAUAUCAGGAGGAACACCGGUGGCGAAGGCGGAUCUCUGGGCCAUUACUGACGCUGAGGAGCGAAAGCGUGGGGAGCGAACAGG
rnacentral:rRNA from 1 species